UACGAAGGGGGCUAGCGUUGCUCGGAAUCACUGGGCGUAAAGCGCACGUAGGCGGACUCUUAAGUCGGUGGUGAAAUCCUGGAGCUCAACUCCAGAACUGCCUUCGAUACUGGGAGUCUUGAGUCCGGGAGAGGUGAGUGGAACUGCGAGUGUAGAGGUGAAAUUCGUAGAUAUUCGCAAGAACACCAGUGGCGAAGGCGGCUCACUGGCCCGGUACUGACGCUGAGGUGCGAAAGCGUGGGGGAGCAAACAGG
rnacentral:rRNA from 1 species